AUACCGUCCUGGAGGGAAGAAGGCGGGGACCGUAAGGCCUCGCGCGAUUGGAGCGGCCGAUGUCGGAUUAGCUAGUUGGUAGGGUAAAGGCCUACCAAGGCGACGAUCCGUAGCGGGUCUGAGAGGAUGAUCCGCCACACUGGGACUGAGACACGGCCCAGACUCCUACGGGAGGCAGCAGUGGGGAAUUUUGGACAAUGGGCGAAAGCCUGAUCCAGCCAUGCCGCGUGAGUGAAGAAGGCCUUCGGGUUGUAAAGCUCUUUCGGCUGGGAAGAAAUCGCACAGGCUAAUACUCUGUGUGGAUGACGGUACCAGCACAAGAAGCACCGGCUAACUACGUG
rnacentral:rRNA from 1 species